AGAUGGACCUGCGUUGUAUUAGCUGGUUGGUGGGGUAACGGCUCACCAAGGCGACGAUACAUAGCCGACCUGAGAGGGUGAUCGGCCACACUGGGACUGAGACACGGCCCAGACUCCUACGGGAGGCAGCAGUAGGGAAUCUUCGGCAAUGGACGGAAGUCUGACCGAGCAACGCCGCGUGAGUGAAGAAGGUUUUCGGAUCGUAAAGCUCUGUUGUAAGAGAAGAACGAGUGUGAGAGUGGAAAGUUCACACUGUGACGGUAUCUUACCAGAAAGGGACGGCUAACUACGUGCCAGCAGCCGCGGUAAUACGUAGGUCCCGAGCGUUGUCCGGAUUUAUUGGGCGUAAAGCGAGCGCAGGCGGUUAGAUAAGUCUGAAGUUAAAGGCUGUGGCUUAACC
rnacentral:rRNA from 1 species